rnacentral:lncRNA from 1 species
UCGAUAAGAAUGGAGCUCUAGAUGUGGCACCGCCUAUCCUAUUAUGUUGUGGUACCGGCCGCGCUGACCAUCUCGACCCCAGAUGACCCACAAAUACCAGAGAGAUGCUUGGAUGAGAGAGGUAGUAUUGGAGGGCCAAUGUCAGGGAGUGGGGCCGGUACCCUUUCAUAAAGCCGGUGGGUGCAUGACACAAAACAACACUGAUAAGCCUUGAGUAGUUUGAAGAGAGAGAAAGGGUCAGGGAUUAGCUGAUCAAGGUUGUCCCAUGUUCAGGUCUUUAACCCCUCGAAACAGGUGGGUGCCUUUGUCUCCUUACAAAUCAUGCCCUUCUCCACUCAAUAAAUAGAAACACUUCUGUACACGUUACGCGUAUAGUGCACUACAUGCUUUCCCCAAUUACAAACCAUAUCUGUGUUCAAUACACGUUGCGCGUAUCGUGCUUCCUCUGUGACCCAAUUAAUAUGCACUGGCCCAUUCCCCUGUCG